rnacentral:rRNA from 1 species
UACGAAGGGGGCUAGCGUUGUUCGGAAUUACUGGGCGUAAAGCGUGCGCAGGCGGCUUCUCAAGUCAGGGGUGAAAGCCCAGAGCUCAACUCUGGGAUUGCCUUUGAGACUGAGUGGCUUGAGUACGAGAGAGGUGAGUGGAAUUCCCAGUGUAGAGGUGAAAUUCGUAGAUAUUGGGAAGAACACCGGUGGCGAAGGCGGCUCACUGGCUCGUAACUGACGCUGAGGUGCGAAAGCGUGGGGAGCAAACAGG